CUUAAAUUGAAGAGUUUGAUCAUGGCUCAGAUUGAACGCUGGCGGCAGGCCUAACACAUGCAAGUCGAGCGGCAGCGGAAAGUAGCUUGCUACUUUGCCGGCGAGC
rnacentral:rRNA from 1 species